AAUAAGAAACGAUAUCAAACACCACUUACAUAAUCAAAUUGGUCAGGAACACGUUCAAGCAACUACCGUUACAAUACAAACUAACAGCAAUUACUUCCAGAUGUCAGCAGUAUAUGCACCACCGCAACACAAAAUGACAUUAUAAAAAUGGGAACAGUAUUUUUAAUCCUUAGGUGACAAAUAUAUCACAGCAGAAGACUUCAAUGCAAAGCACACGUUAUGGGGUUCAAGAAUUAACACACCUCGAGGUAGAACACUAGCAAGAUAUAUUAGAACUAGUAAUCUCUGCAUAUUAUCCACAAGUAGGCCAAUAUACUGGCCAACAGAUCUAAACAAAAUACCUGACUUGCUUUAUUUUGCAGUUAUAAAAGGACUAAACGCGAACACAUUAAAGACAACGCCCAGUCUUCAGCUUAGCUCCGAUCAUACACCGGUAAUAAUAGAAUACACAACCAAACCAAUACUUUAUAGCAAAUCAGAGUCGCUUUGCAAUAAAACCACCAAAUGAUAAACAUUUAAAGAACUAAUCGAGAGCAAAAUCAACUGCAAUAUUCCACUAAACACCCGAACACAUCAAACAGGCAGUAACAAUACUGACAGAAAUUAUACAAAAAGCAGUAUGGGCAACUACUAAUUAUGAACCAAACAACAGGCAAACGAAAAUAAUUCCAACAGACAUCCUUGACAAGAUCAGAUAAAAAAGGAAAGCGAAAGCAAAAUAGCAAAAACAUAGAACACGUGAAAACAAAAAACAUCUAAAUAAACUCGCAAAGGAAAUAAAGAGUAAAAUAAAAGAUCAUAAUAAUAACGAAUUCUCAAAAUACAUAGAAACACUCUUUGCAAAUGAAAAUGCCAACUACUCUCUAUGGAAAGCCACAAACAAAAUAAAGAAGACAAUAAAACUGAUCCUAGCAAUCAGAAAAACAGACAACACAUGUGCCAGAAGCAACAAAGAGCGAGCUGAUGAAUUUUCCAACCACCUUUGUAACACAUUUACUCCAUAUAAUGUUAACAACAUUAACUCCAAAUGUCAUUCAGACAUAGAUGCAUAAAAUACUAGUACCUCAACUGACAAGCACUACUCCAUACCUAAUACAGCAGCACAAGAAAUUAGAAUCAUAAUCAAGAAAACAAAAAACAAUAAAGCACCAGAAAUUAACCUAAUCGAUGAUAAAAUCUUAAAAAACCUUCCCCCAAAAGCAAUACGAUUAAUGACAAUAAUAUCCAAUGCAAUUUUAAGAAUUCAAUACUUCCCUAAUUUAUGAAAACUAGCACAGAUCAUAAUGUUACCUAAGCCAAGCAAAGACCAGGCCACAUCAAAUUACAUCUUACAGGCCAAUAUCAUUACUUCCUGUGUUUUCAAAAAUACUAGAAAAAAUAAUUUACGCCCGCUUAAAACCAAUAAUAGAGAAGGAAAAAUUAUUACCAGAUCACCAAUUUGGAUUCAGAAACAAACACUCCACGAUAGAGCAAAUGCAUAGACUCACAAAUGAAAUAAUACUAGCAUUAGAAAACAAACAAUACUGCACAGCCCUCUUUAUGGACAUCGAGAAAGCAUUUGACAAAAUAAACCACAAAAGCCUACUUCAAUCAAUCAGAAAACAAUACCCGGAGCAGAUACACCAUUUAAUAAAAUCUUACUUAAGCAGCAGAACCUUCGUAGUAAAAAUUAAGGACACAUACUCUGAAGUUAAAGACAUCAAGGCAGGGGUUCCGCAAGGAAGCAUCUUAGGACCAAUACUAUACAUACUAUACACGGCCAACAUACCAACAAUUACCAACAGCAAAAUACUGACAUUCGCGGACGACACAGCUGUACUAUUCAGGCACACUAAUCCAGAAACACCAGUCACAUUACUACAACAACAUAUCACACAAAUAUAAAAGUGACUGCAAGGUAAACAAAUAAAAGCAAACCUCAAUAAAUGCAACCAUAUUUACACUAUGAAAACAGAAACUAUCAAAUAUCUAAUUGGCACCACUUAACACAAACAAAGUACGUUAAAUACCUAAGACUCCAUUUAGACACACAACUUAUAUGGAAGCAAUAUACUAAAUCACUUAUAGACAAAAUACAGGUAAAAACAAGAUGGAUGUAUUGGCUAACUAGUCAAAACUAUAAACUCAGCAUGGAAAAUAAACUAAAUAUUUACAAAUCGAUAAUAAAACCAAUUUGUGCAUACGGAAUACCACUAUGGGGGACAGCAGCAAUGAGUCACAUAAAUAAAUUAGAGUCAUUACAACCGAAGAUACUCAAAACAAUAGACAACAUUCCAUGGUAUGUUAGAAACAAGGAUAUACGCAAAGAUCUAAAAAUAUCAAUGAUCAAAAAAGAAAUCGGUAGAUACGCAGAAAAAUACAAGGAAAGAAUGACAACACAUCCAAACCAGCUGGCUGCUGAAGCAAACAAAACUCAUAUAAAAAGAAGACUAAAAAGGAAACAUGCCAUUGACCUCACUGAAGAAAUAAAAUAGACAAACUCAAAGAUGAUAUUCUGCUGGAGGUAGUCAUCCACGUGUUAUUUAGUAAUAAAGUUAAAAAAAUUUACCAAAUGUCCAGCUGGAUAAAUUGUAAAGUACAAAUUAAAUAAAUAAAAAAAACGUGUUGCUUCAUUCAAGCAAACAUGAAAAUAACAUGGUGAUAAGCGUGGAUUGUAAGAUAAGUUUCCCCAUUAUUGCUACUGAACUUUGGGCAAUAGAAUUUGUCCACAAGGAUCAUACAACAACACGUAUCUCAAACUUGAACGCAUUUGUUAUUUAAUGCUUCGUGUCUAACGUAUAAUAUCAGAUAGAUCAAGUUAGCACGUACUACUACCAAUAACAAUAUUGCAUCUAUGCAAUCAUCUAGUAACAAUUAAAUGUCUUUGUUGGGUCUCACACACAUCAGGUAACGUAUAACAAAAUGUGUUAACGUUUGUCCUUUGUUUAGGCUGAAUCACUUACAAAUAAUUAUAUAAACUAUAUUUACCAUGGAAACGUCAAGCACGUGCACGAAUACCGAUGGCCAUCUUGCAACUACCGAUGACGUCACGCGCAGGCUUUCACCAGGCACCGCUGUGCUACCCAGUGUUACUAUGUAGAAGCCAAUAGUCUUUUUUAGAAAUUAAAGGAAGAAGUAAGUUAUUUAUUGACUGACCUACGUAUAAUAUCAACGACAUUAUUAACAGCGAUCGAAUAGGAAAAGUCAAAUUAUAAAGGAUCUUUAUCUUAAUCUCUGAAGUAAGGGUGUCAAACUUUUAAAAGUUCGCACGAUACAAGGAUUGGCGCACUAGCUCUCCAUUCUAUGUAGCUCUAUAUAAUUGUGUCGGGCGAAAGAUGAGCUACUCAAGAAGUUAUUGGAGUCGCUUUCGCAGGAGAAUCGGGCUGGAUCGAUGGAGCACGAUUAAGUAUCCUCGAGAGGAAAGUGUGUAAAGGAAUGAUUCCCCUUUGACCUACAUACACAUACGCGCUACUGGGAGGAGGAAUCCUGGACCGUUUCCGAUUGAGUUAACCUAUGCCAGCAGUUUUAAGCUCACCAGGGGAAACCAGCAUAGUUUUUACGAGCGUAGUUUAUGGAACCACGCCAGCUGGGCUUGCGAUAAACCCGUUGCAGUUACGAAACGUAUAUGCGCACAUGAAUUCCAGCUUGCCAGAAAGAUGGAGGUACGCACAAAUAUGAAUAAAACGUAUUUGUCUUUAUAGAAGGUAUUUCUGCAAUCGUAAUGCCACGAUAUGAUCAGGAUGAAGGUUAUUUGUCGUGAAAAAAUAGAUCAUAAGUGAAAAAUAAAAUUUUAGCGUAUAACGCUUUGUUUUGAGAAAAUGGUUUUAAAUAUUCAUUUGAUAUACUACCUGUGAAAGCCGAUUUAACAGACCUCUGUUUUUGUUCGUGUAUGCAUAACG